AGGAGGAUAAGGAAGAAAGAGCAAACCAGCGUAUUACUUGUGCUAAAUGACCAAUUUUGGUUGCCUUGUGUCCGUUUAGUAUGCGGAUCAUAUAUUGCGUUUAGCUGUGAAUUUGAAGUUCUUUUAGCCCAAUCACAAGAACUCUAUUUGCUUAUACCAUAGUCAAAAACUGACGCUCUUUGUAAAUUUAACGUCUACGUAUUUCACUGAUUACAUUGGGAACCCUGUAACUCGCAGGAAACGUCGGUCGAUCGAAUUCUCCCCACCCCGGAAGGAAUCCUACGAGUUUCCCGUGUUCCGAUACUUGAUUCUCCC
rnacentral:lncRNA from 1 species